CCUACGGGCGGCAGCAGUGAGGAAUAUUGGUCAAUGGGCUUACGCCUGAACCAGCCAAGUCGCGUGAGGGAAGACUGCCCUAUGGGUUGUAAACCUCUUUUGUCAGGGAGCAAUUGGCGCUACGUGUAGCGUUAUCGAGAGUACCUGAAGAAAAAGCAUCGGCAAACUCCGUGCCAGCAGCCGCGGUAAUACGGGGGAUGCGAGGGUUAUCCGGAUUUAUUGGGUUUAAAGGGUGCGUAGGCGGAAUGCCAAGUCAGCGGUAAAAUCGCGGGGCUAAACCACGCUCCGCCGUUGAAACUGGCGUUCUUGAGUGGGGGAGAGGUAUGCGGAAUGCCUGGUGUAGCGGUGAAAUGCGUAGAUAUCACGCAGAACUCCGGUUGCGAAGGCAGCAUACCGGCGCCCAACUGACGCUGAGGCACGAAAGCGUGGGUAUCGAACAGGAUUAGAUACCCCUGUAGUC
rnacentral:rRNA from 1 species